UACGUAGGGUCCGAGCGUUGUCCGGAAUUAUUGGGCGUAAAGAGCUCGUAGGCGGCUUGUCGCGUCGUCCGUGAAAACCCACAGCUCAACUGUGGGCUUGCGGUCGAUACGGGCAGGCUAGAGUUCGGUAGGGGAGACUGGAAUUCCUGGUGUAGCGGUGAAAUGCGCAGAUAUCAGGAGGAACACCGGUGGCGAAGGCGGGUCUCUGGGCCGAUACUGACGCUGAGGAGCGAAAGCGUGGGGAGCGAACAGG
rnacentral:rRNA from 1 species